rnacentral:lncRNA from 1 species
AGUUCACCAAAAGAAAAUCAAACUUUCAGAACGGGUGGCCACUCCAAAUUCCCUCACAGCUCCAAGCCCACUAUGGUUGGGGAUUACCUACGUGGAUGAAAAUAAAAGGGGUGAGCUUGGGAAAACUCAGUGUGUAAAUUAACCCAACCAUAGCCUAUAUCAGCUCAAACCACAGAAAUAGAAUAAGUUGGCCUUAGCCCAGAACAGAAUUCAGAAUAAAGCCCAUAAGCCCAUAACAGAACAGAACAGAUAUUACAUGUUUAUGCAGAAACCCAACCAUAUCCAACCGUACACCCCCGUACCAACCUUACACCGUGUGGGGAGACAACUCGACCCACCCAACCGCUACACACCACAGAAUUUGCAGCAUGGCUGCCAGAACAGAUAAUGUGACAGAGUCACCAGAUACAGAUAAUCGUGGCAGAGCCACCAGAAUAGAUAUAUGUGGCAGAGCCACUAGAUCAGAUAUUUGUGGCAGAGCCACCAGAUCAGAUAUUUGUGGCAUAGCCACCAGAACGCUUCCUCCAUAAUAUAACCCAUGUCCCCAUGCAACAGAUAUAUAAUCAUGGCAUACAUCAUACAGAAUCAUAUCGUCAUGCUUUUCAGUCAAAAUUAACCCUAGGGGUAUAACGGUAAUUUUACACCUAGGGGUAUAACAGUAAUUUUCCAUACAUAGGGGUAUUAUAGUAAUUUAGCUACUUUUAGCGUUUUCAUGCAUAUCCUAACUAUUUACGUACUAUCAGAACACUUACCGCGCAUACUUACCGAAUUGGGCCCGUUGGCCGAUGAACCCGAUCUUUGGCCCAUUAAGCCCAAAUUAUCAAAAUGUACGAAAUCGCGCGUACUGCAGUUUAUUACUUUAGAUUACCAAAUAUACAAACCCAACUAUCUUACGAGCAUUCGCACACUCGCAAAUUCCCAAAAUACUGACUUUUCGGCAUUUCGGCAUUUCGGCUUUUGCCAAUCUAGUCUAUGAGAGGGUGUCAGUUACAUACCUGUUUGCGACUAUAUGCUGACGAGAUCCACACACGAACCGCCUACAAUUGGAUUACUAACACGUUAAUAUAACUAUUCAAAUACGAACUACGUAUUAACCCCUUACAAUAUUCGGCCAACCACACCUACAGAUCAGAGUAAGCUUAUAAGAAAUCAAUAAGCAGCUCAUUAACAAAUUUUUGUCAGUGUUUACCACAUAAUCAUAAUUUCACUGCAAGCUGUCUUCCUGAGAAACAGUCACUAAAUCAUUUAUAACUGGAGCUACGAAACUCCAAAUCAAGUGCCAUUAAUUUUCCCUGAAAAUAGACUCAUAUAUCUUCUAUCCAUAAAAUUUUCAGAAUUUUUGGUAUGGCCAAUCAAUACCAGAUUUUUCUUAAAGUUUCCCAUGUUUCACUGUUUGACUAAUCUGACCACUCUUCAUUACGAAUCAAAUUUCUCAUUGUACAGAAUUCAAAAUAUGUUCUUGUUUAUUUCAUUAGAAACUAGACUCAAUAAUAUUUAAUUACAUAAUUUAUUCAUCUUCUAAUUCAUCUCCCACAAUUUAUGGUGAUUUUCCAAAGUCACGUUACUGCUGCUGUCCCAAGCAGAUUUAUUACCAAAUCACUCUUUCACACAUACCUUGCAUGCAUGUUAUUUAAACAUGUAUAUCACCAAUCAAUCAUCACAUAUCUAUGAUUUUACUUAAGUAUAAUCUCCAUUUCAUCCUUUUAAAGCACAAGAUGUUAGCUGAUUUUUCCCUUUAACAUCUAAGGCACAUGCAUGCUCAUUUGUUUGGCUCAACUUCACCUAUCUUCCAUUUUUCAUCAAAAGAACAUGAAACAACAACCAUUUCCUUCAUUUUAAUUCAUGACUAAAUGCUCACAACACAACUAAAAACCAAAAUAUGCUUCAAGAGUUAAGGUAGAAUCAAGAAGAACUCAUGAACAUCAAGAUAGAAGCAAACUACCAUGAACUUACCUUCAAUUUUCUUCCCCAAGUGACCGAACAUUCAAGAGCUUUCUCCUCUCCUUUCUCUUUUCUAACUUUCAGCUAUGAUGAACAAAGAUGGACAAAACUUUUUUCUUUUCACCCCUUUUUCUUUUAA